rnacentral:tRNA from 1 species
GCAUUAAUGGGGUAGUGGUAACCUGGGUCGUUGCCAUUCAUAACAAGUGCAUCUUGUGUAGUCUCGACCCGCCGGGGGUUCGAUUCCCUCUUAAUGCA